UCCUUUGUUCUUCUAAUUCUCUUCCUUUCGCUGCUCUCUCUGGAAUUACCUUUCUCCUUCACAGCUUCAAAAUGUCAUCUCUCUUUGGGUGAAUUUGCUAACUUUUUUCGAAGCUUCCUUUCAGUGCGGGAUCUAUUCUCGCUGUUCUUUACUCUGAAAAAGUUUAAAAAUUUUCUGUUGAUGGGCUGAGAUGGUAUUUUAUGGCAUGCCUCUUUUCUGUAUAGAUUGGAAAAGGAAUGUUGAAGUGAACUAUACAGCCAUGGUGUUUGAUGAUAUGUCUGCAAGAGAAUGCCUGUAGAAAAUAUUCAUGCAUAUGACUGCUAUGUGGAGUGUAACCAGAAGAGUUCCUUUCAAAGAAGAAGCCAGCAGUACCACUAUCUAUUGCAAGAUUGAGAAGAAUUUUGGGACCAAUAGUACCACUAUAUGAUCAAUUUCACUAUAGCGUGAGCCAAGAAUUGAACGGCAAACUAACGUAUAUUGCAUAAUUGAAACUGCCACAGAUUACAAGGUUAGCUGCUAGCUGUUUCAUCAACUAAAGUUGUGAUGUCCUCUCUAAGGAAGUCCAAUGAAGAUGGCCCGACUGCAAGCUCGAGACAGUUUUGCGCCUCCAAGUUUAUUUUUCCAGUAGUAUUACCUCAAAAGCCUUCGCCAGCUAUUUUGUAGGACUCUCUGAAAUUCCUCAGCCUCCUUGCACAAGAGCAGUUUGCACAAGAGCAGUUUUCUUGUGACACCCUUGAUUCCCACCUGUGCGCAUCUAUCCCACACAUGUUCCUUUGAAGUAGCAGAUAGCACCAUAUAUAAUGUAUGUGUGUGUGUGUGUGUGUGUGUGUGUGUGUGUGUGUGUGUGUGUGUGUGUGUGUGUGUGUGUGUGACCAUACUCGGCGCUAUUCUGGCAUUUUCUAAUAAUCAACUCAGCAACAAAGUGAGGACAUAGAGCUGGUUUUUGCUUCAUCUUCUCCCCAUGUUUUUGUUUCUUUUUUUCCCUUCAGAAUUUGAUAGACGAUAGUGACUUCUUUCGUUAAAGAUUUGUAGUUAACGUCAGAUGACCUUUACCAAUAAUGUCUCCUACCCUGUUGAUAGUGUGUUGGUGAUGAUUUAGCAUCAGUACACGCAAAGCUUACCAUUGUAUUCUCUUAAAAAUUGUAGCUCUCUGUACGUCUGAAUUUAUAUUUAUCACAUGAUUACUGCACUUA